GGAAACAGGUUAAUAUUCCUGUACUUGGUGUUACUGCGAAGGGGGGACGGAGAAGGCUAUGUUAGCCGGGCGACGGUUGUCCCGGUUUAAGCAUGUAGGCUGAUUGUCCAGGCAAAUCCGGAUAAUCAAGGCUGAGGUGUGAUGACGAGGCACUACGGUGCUGAAGUAACAAAUGCCCUGCUUCCAGGAAAAGCCUCUAAGCAUCAGGUAACAUUAAAUCGUACCCCAAACCGACACAGGUGGUCAGGUAGAGAAUACCAAGGCGCUUGAGAGAACUCGGGUGAAGGAACUAGGCAAAAUGGUGCCGUAACUUCGGGAGAAGGCACGCUGGUGUGUAGGUGAAGUCCCUGCGGAUGGAGCUGAGACCAGUCGAAGAUACCAGCUGGCUGCAACUGUUUAUUAAAAACACAGCACUGUGCAAACACGAAAGUGGACGUAUACGGUGUGACGCCUGCCCGGUGCCGGAAGGUUAAUUGAUGGGGUUAUCCGUAAGGAGAAGCUCUUGAUCGAAGCCCCGGUAAACGGCGGCCGUAACUAUAACGGUCCUAAGGUAGCGAAAUUCCUUGUCGGGUAAGUUCCGACCUGCACGAAUGGCGUAAUGAUGGCCAGGCUGUCUCCACCCGAGACUCAGUGAAAUUGAACUCGCUGUGAAGAUGCAGUGUACCCGCGGCAAGACGGAAAGACCCCGUGAACCUUUACUAUAGCUUGACACUGAACAUUGAGCCUUGAUGUGUAGGAUAGGUGGGAGGCUUUGAAGCGUGGACGCCAGUCUGCGUGGAGCCAACCUUGAAAUACCACCCUUUAAUGUUUGAUGUUCUAACGUUGGCCCCUUACCGGGGUUGCGGACAGUGUCUGGUGGGUAGUUUGACUGGGGCGGUCUCCUCCCAAAGCGUAACGGAGGAGCACGAAGGUUAGCUAAUCCUGGUCGGACAUCAGGAGGUUAGUGCAAUGGCAUAAGCUAGCUUGACUGCGAGCGUGACGGCGCGAGCAGGUGCGAAAGCAGGUCAUAGUGAUCCGGUGGUUCUGAAUGGAAGGGCCAUCGCUCAACGGAUAAAAGGUACUCCGGGGAUAACAGGCUGAUACCGCCCAAGAGUUCAUAUCGACGGCGGUGUUUGGCACCUCGAUGUCGGCUCAUCACAUCCUGGGGCUGAAGUAGGUCCCAAGGGUAUGGCUGUUCGCCAUUUAAAGUGGUACGCGAGCUGGGUUUAGAACGUCGUGAGACAGUUCGGUCCCUAUCUGCCGUGGGCGCUGGAGAAUUGAGGGGGGCUGCUCCUAGUACGAGAGGACCGGAGUGGACGCAUCACUGGUGUUCGGGUUGUCAUGCCAAUGGCACUGCCCGGUAGCUAAAUGCGGAAGAGAUAAGUGCUGAAAGCAUCUAAGCACGAAACUUGCCCCGAGAUGAGUUCUCCCUGAGACUUUAAGUCUCCUGAAGGAACGUUAAAGACGAUGACGUUGAUAGGCCGGGUGUGUAAGCGCAGCGAUGCGUUGAGCUAACCGGUACUAAUGAACCGUGAGGCUUAACCUU
rnacentral:rRNA from 1 species